ensembl:lincRNA Gm44670 predicted gene 44670
AAGAUUUCCACCUACUGAAAUGUUUCCAUACUUAAUUUCUACUCAGAGAACCUGAAGUCACUUCUAACAGUAUCUCUCAAGACCGAUACAGUUGAGCUCCAUCUGCCCUUCUAACAUCGGCGGCCUGGCAACAGUGUCUUGCUAAGCUGGGAAACAUGGUUUGGUGAGAAGGUCUCUAACUUCUGUCAAGACUCAGUUCUGCCACUCUCCACAAUGACUCUGGGCAAGGUACUUCAGAGCACUAUCCCAGCAUGGCCUUGUCCUGGAUUGCAUGGGGUUCAUUCUUCAUCCUCAAUGGUCAGGAGCCACUUCCAACAGGUGCCCAGGGAGGACAAAGGAUCCAGGCUUCACUUUUCCUGAUGGAGCAAAAGGAGUAUCAGGAGAUAAAUGGUGAUGCCAGACUGGAUCUCAGACAACACUGGAAGCAUCUCCAGGCUUUCAGAACACCAGAUUAAUCCAUAUGAAUGGAAAGGGCAAUUCAUUUGUCCUUCCCUGUGACCCUCAUUCUGUCCCAGAUGGACCACGCUAAAGAGGAUGUGGAGUAUGAAGUCUGUCUGAAUAUGUGAAAGGACUGACACCAGGGUUGUUGUGAAGCUGUGGGGCCUUUGUUGAGCCAGAGAUACGGCUUGAAGGGAGAAAAUGAAACAUAGGUUGUGGCUCAGUUCUCAGCUAAGUACCCAGUACCCAGUUGAGUAGAGUAAGUGAGCUGCCUAUGCAAGUCAGCCAGAGGAAGACACAGAUGUCAGGGAAG